AUGCUUGCUUUGACAGCAUAUGUACUAAAAUUGGGACAACGCAGAGAAGAUUAGCAUGGUUCUUGCCCAAGGUAGACAUGCAGACUGGUGAAGUGUUCCAUAUUUUG
ensembl:snRNA U6 U6 spliceosomal RNA